ACGUUUUUUUCAUAGAGAUUUAGAUUUAAGGUUAGAAGAAUUGUGGAAGUCGUGAGACUUCCCUUUUUUUAAUCUUUAAGAUUGCCUUCACUAUUAUAAUUUGCAGUAGAGGGCAAAAAAAAGCUCUUUCAUGUGAAAGAGCUUUUUU
rfam:Bacteroides clarus YIT 12056 genomic scaffold Scfld52, whole genome shotgun sequence.